UACAACAUAUGUUACCAGUUGUGCUAUCAUUUUUUUCAGCGACAGCCAAAAUCACCACCGCUUCUGCUACGAACAUGUUAAGCCAUCCUUUUAACCGUUGCUGCCACCACUAUUACGGCCAUCACAAGAAAAUUCAUGCAAGUGGAAACGGUGAUAGUAGCAGCUGGUAUGACACGUUGGUAGCAGUAGCGGUGGUAAUGCCGAUAGCGUGAGCGGCAAUGGAAGCAUUGGUGGUGUCAGAAGCAGUCA